CUCCCUCAAACCUCUGGUUUGGCGUUGAGUGAUACUCGGUUUACUUGAAAAACAUGAAAAGCAUAACUAUUAGGUUUUACCAACUCGUUAUACUAAUCUACAA
rnacentral:misc_RNA from 2 species